GCUCGGGUGGCGGAAUUGGUAGACGCGCAUGACUAAGGAUCAUGUGGGGCGACCCGUGGGGGUUCGAGUCCCCCCUCGAGCA
rnacentral:tRNA from 1 species